rnacentral:tRNA from 1 species
UUCGUUGUAGUCUAGUUGGUUAGGAUACUCGACUCUCACCAGAGAGACCCGAGUUCAAGUCCCGAUAAUGAAA